rnacentral:misc_RNA from 1 species
AAUUGUGGCCGUAACGGGAGUGGGUGAAAUAGCUAUUUCCAUGGGGAGCUUGAGCAUACGGUGCGCCUUGUCAUGUUCAUUCAGCGUUGGCUGUGCAAUCGGUGCCUAGCCGGCACUGAGCGUGCAGUUGGUGCAUGUGGGAAAAGGGUCGAUCAUGGCAUGGCAAGCUGUUUGGGAUGGCAAACCAUGGCACGGCGAGCGAGCUUGCGGCAUUUUUGUGCCUACGUGCCUAACGGGGCGUGCUUGGGCGUUUUGGUUGCUAUUUGUUGUUAGCAUUGCCGGAAGGCAUUGUGAGGCAGUGAAUGGUGGCCACUUCGUUUGGGCAUCGUGUACGUAUGGUGCGUGAGUGGUGGUUGGCUAGUAUGGGCACGUUGGAUCCCUGCUUGGGCAGCGACGUCGUGCCUUGCUAGUCUCUUCAGUGGGCGGCCCAAGUGCGUGUUGGCCUUGGACGUUCUUGGUUUCCUGUGUUGCAUACCUAUUGCGAGGGCAUUCAAUUGGUUAAAAACGUCCCGUUUCCGCCUUGUGCCGGGCCUUUUAAGGCUGCGGUGCGGGGUGGACCCCAAAGCACCCGUCGUGUUCCACUUCCCGUGCGUUUUGACACGUCUUCGGGAUGUUGGCCCAUGGCGUCGUGCUCGAUCUCUCGGAUGCUGAAAAUCAAGUGGGCACGAGGCCUCCAGCCCCUAUUUGUCCCGAAUCAAAGCGUUCUACGCUUCGUGCGAACGACGACCGUUGCCGCUUUGAUCGAGUCCUCGUGGCUUCGAUCACGCGGUGCCGGCGCCGAUGAGGAAUGCU